AAUUGGAGUGCAAAGCUGCGUUUCAUGAUGUUUUGGGGACAUGCUUGAUGCGUUUUAGCCAUGAGAAAAGGGGUGGAAAACACCAAGGUGGGUUGGCACGUGAGGGUGAAUUAAAUCAAUAAGUUUUCUCAUUUGAAACAUUCCUUCUUUUUCCAAAUGCAUGGGAGCAAGAAUGUGCAUGGAAAUCACUUGGUUUGGGCCAUUUGAGGAAAGGUCAGAAUGGGUGGUGUGUAUGGAAAUGCA
rnacentral:lncRNA from 1 species